rnacentral:rRNA from 1 species
UACGUAGGGGGCAAGCGUUAUCCGGAUUUACUGGGUGUAAAGGGAGCGUAGACGGCUUUGCAAGCCAGAUGUGAAAGCCCGGGGCUCAACCCCGGGACUGCAUUUGGAACUGUGUGGCUAGAGUGUCGGAGAGGCAGGGGAAUUCCUAGUGUAGCGGUGAAAUGCGUAGGUAUUAGGAGGAACACCAGUGGCGAAGGCGGCCUGCUGGACGAUGACUGACGUUGAGGCUCGAAAGCGUGGGGAGCAAACAGG